rnacentral:rRNA from 1 species
CAGUCGAACGGUAACAGGUCUUCGGACGCUGACGAGUGGCGAACGGGUGAGUAAUACAUCGGAACGUGCCCAGUCGUGGGGGAUAACUACUCGAAAGAGUAGCUAAUACCGCAUACGAUCUGAGGAUGAAAGCGGGGGACCUUCGGGCCUCGCGCGAUUGGAGCGGCCGAUGGCAGAUUAGGUAGUUGGUGGGAUAAAAGCUUACCAAGCCGACGAUCUGUAGCUGGUCUGAGAGGACGACCAGCCACACUGGGACUGAGACACGGCCCAGACUCCUACGGGAGGCAGCAGUGGGGAAUUUUGGACAAUGGGCGAAAGCCUGAUCCAGCAAUGCCGCGUGCAGGAUGAAGGCCUUCGGGUUGUAAACUGCUUUUGUACGGAACGAAAAAGCUUCUCCUAAUACGAGAGGCCCAUGACGGUACCGUAAGAAUAAGCACCGGCUAACUACGUGCCAGCAGCCGCGGUAAUACGUAGGGUGCGAGCGUUAAUCGGAAUUACUGGGCGUAAAGCGUGCGCAGGCGGUUAUGUAAGACAGAUGUGAAAUCCCCGGGCUCAACCUGGGAACUGCAUUUGUGACUGCAUGGCU